CAACAACACUAUGGUUUUGCAGAAGAAACACUAUGUAAAAGAUACAAAUAGCUAUGUGGCUCUAACAAUAAGCUCAACAGAAAUGGGCAUGGUUUUGCUAUUGUUCAUUGGAGAAUGCUGAUUUACAAUGAAUUAGUUGAUUACAAGUUGUCCACCAAGUUAAGCAGCAUUAACU